UACCUUUUCAGAUGGAACUAAGAGACUACAACCCAGUCCUGCAUGAGAGAGGCUUCCAUCAAAAAUUGAACUUUCUUGUCAAAGAGAGUUUACAAUUUAGGUAAUUGUCAUCUCCAUCCACCUUGGGCCUUCCUAACAUGUAGCACGUACAUUAAAAAGAAUACCAACAUGCAUAUGUUUAAUGUAAGCACAGGCAUAUAUAUUGUACUUGUAUAAAUAAUAUACCUGUCAGAAACUUUGGUUGAUUUUGUAAAAAUAUUAAGGUACACUUUUUUAUUUCUAAGCAAUUAUAUUCCUAGCAUACAUUCAUAUCUAUAUGAAAAUAGUUGAUGAGGGAAAUCAAGGAACGUUCCUUUUAGUUCUGAGUUAAUUAUAUUCCUAGUAUACAUUCAUAUCUGGUUGAAAGUGGAUGAGGCUGUAGAGAGGUUAAGAUCUACUAUGGGUUGGGUUUUCUGGAGUUUUGAUGAUAGUAUGAACAAUAUAUAUUUUUUUUUCUGUUUUCUUGAAAAGUAGCAUUAUUUACCUCAUUAGGUUUAUGUUUAUUUCAUUGCAUUGGUAGAGGAUCUUGUCAAGGAUUCUAUACAAUGUUUCAGUAUUUUGUUGUCAUUUUAGUAUAUGUGGCUCCAUUUUCUUCAGUUUUUCCUUCUAGAGGAUGACUAUUUGGCUAUGAAGCUCAGGAUACCACAAUGGCACAAUCAUGUUCAUGGAUGUUAAAAACCCUGUUUAAUUCUUCUCUAGACUACUCUCACAACCAUUUUUGUUAUUUGAGAGAAAAAGUUGUCUUAUUCACUAACAAAAUAAUAAAAAAUAUAUAUGUAUACAAUCUUUGAAAUAUCAAAAAAGGCAGUUAAUCCUUACUGAAUAAAACUGUUAUUAACCGCCCUUAAAUGGUUCUCCUCAAAUUGGGGUAUAUUUAUUCCUAAGACCCAGCUUGGAACAUAGAACAAGAAAAAGAUCCUUCCUAAAGCUUUACAAAAACAUCUCUCAAUUAAGCUUUAAAUUUGAUAUACGAAGUUAUGACUUUCUUGCUGGUGAAAACUUACUCUAAUAAAGUUACUAACAAUGUGAAUAGCAGCCUGAUCAUCAUAAUACACAUUCAUGGGCAUUUCAAGAGAAAAUCGAAGCUCCUGUAAAAAUGGUCGGCGUCACAUUUGUUGUGCUUCUUCUUGCAAAAAUAAUAGAUCACACUCUUGCCUUGAUCAUGAUAAUAAGUAGGCUAUCGUAAUAUAGUGGUCUAAGCAUCGUCCCUAGGGAUUGAUUCAUAUAUGGUAAUUGGAGGCAAAGAUGUGGAGAGAAUAGGAUUGGUAAAAAGGCUACUGGGUAGAUUGUGAGUAGAGAUCAAAAUCAAGGAGAAUUUUUAAAAGUGAAUUUCUAUUAAAUAAUUUUUGAAGGCUUAAAAGGAAACAAACAAUUGAAAAUUUUCUUGGAUUCAAAUCUAAUAUAGCAAUUGAGCAUUAUGGUAGAGAUUGAUCUCUAAUUCAACUUAUUGACCAUCAAGUUAAAUGAGAAGCUCAAAAUCUCUUUGGGUCAAUAUUAAAUUUAACUUUAGGUUAUGGUCUACUCUCAAUGAUGAACUCACCCUUCCAAUUGUCAAUUUAAGAAGUUAAUGAUAAUUUUUCAUCUCAAAUUAUCUUCUCAUAUUGCCUAUAGUGAAUCUACACAACCUUAUUGAAUCUAUUCUAAGAAUAGAGAGCCUAGCCACUCAUGAAGAGAGAAAUCAUCUUACACUUGAUGUUUGGCUAGUGGGAAAAUGAAAGAAAAUGAAAAGAGAAUAUGAAAAUUUUAUCGAAGUUCAACUACAAAAAAGAGAAAAUAUCUUGGAGUCUCCAAUCCUAAAAAUUCAAAAGUUUCAAAUCAAAGGUGAAAACCUCUAUUUUGUAGUAGAGUUUACAAUAGGACACUUGUCAAUCACUAAAUGAGCCUUUAGAAACUUCUACAACUGCCAAAUUGGAAGCUUCUGCCCACUAAAAUGAUUCUCCCAAUCAUCAAAACAAGAAAACGAUCCAACCUAGAGGCUGACCCAUUAUUAGACCCACCACACCAAGUAAACAGACCACCAGAAAGGGGAAGAUCUUUAAGGCACAUCUCCUCAAUAAAUUGAGAAAAGCACCUCAUAGAAGCCAAUAAUCUUUGAUAUUUCCUCUUUUUCUUCGUGAAUCUUACUACAUUGAAAUCCCUUCCCACGCGCUAGGGAUCAUACUAAAGACCUCUAAUAGCACCCAAUUAAUUCCAAAAAUCAUCCCUCUUCUCAGCCAAAAACAAGUCGUACACCCUUAUGAACAUCCAAAUAAAAUUAUCGUCACAAUUUCUUAAACGACAAGAUACUAAAAAAGCUUCAAACUCCAUAUCCAAAAGCUCCAAUGCUCGAUUGUCCCAAAAAAUUAAAAUACCCCUUGAUUGACCCUUAGCAUCCAUCGUCCCCUAAUCCAGACACCUCCCCACACCCAAGCUCCUCACCAGGCAAGUUGUCAUUUGUUGAACCUUCAUUUCUUGAAGAUAGACAAGGUCAACUGAGUGGGAAUAAAUCAUAGAUUUAAUGAUCUUCCGCUUAUCCCCCUCGUUGAUCCUUCGCAUGUUCCAAGAUAAAAUUCUUAGCUUCAUGGACCCACCUCAACUAAUUCCUUGGAAGAAUUCCUUUUUGUUCUCCUCCUAGAUAAAUUUGUCUUAUAAGAAAUUGAGCAUUCUAAUUUCCUUAGCUUUCUCUCAAGUUUGGACCCAUCGAAGCUAGCCUUUUUCACCACUUACCCCAAAGGCUUCCUAUUUGCUUGGAAUUCCAAAUUCCUAAAAAGAUCCAGAAUUUCCUCUUCGUAGCCAUCCACCAGAAACCCUAAAAAUUUGCUAAAAGCCAGUAGUUUCUUGAAGCUGCCUUGAGAGCAGGCAAGGUCCUUCUUCAACUCCAUUGGGAUAUUGUUCUUGACCAAAGCUAACUACAAUUCCUCUUCUCGUCCUUAGAUUUCAGACUCUAAGCCAUCACGAUUUGAAUGAAGAUUUAGCAUUACCAUAGCCACCCAAGGCAGGAGCUCCCACCACAAGUAAACAAUAAAACAAAGGUCUUCUAUCACCACUUGCAACUUCCCCGACACCUCUCUCCCAUUCGCUCGGACUAACACUAGUGCCCAUUGCAAAUUUUUUCCCCUCAGUCUCCUCGUCAACCCCCAAAUAGCCUCCAUAAGCAUCGCCACUUGUUUGAAGAACUCCCUAUGCCAAAAAUAAAGCGGAAGGCCCAUUAUCCUCACCCAAGCAGACUUAGCUUGUACUCUUUCUCUGAAACUGCCUAUUAUCGGGGCCCAUCUCUCCAAAAACAAGAACUUUUGCUUAUAAAUCUGCUCUCUUUCCUACAGCACCCUCUGCCUCCUUUGGACCUUCAAACUCAAACAAAAUCAAUCCAUCUCCCAAAUGAUGCAUACUGUAGAUCAAGAUUGGCGUAGACAUUACUAAGUCAUCCCUUGGUUGUUCUUUAAUCUCAAUAUCAGCAGACAAGGUUGACACACAGUCAGUUACUCCCAUAUCCCUCUGAGCAUUGCUUGCUGUUUGUGCAAAGAUUUCACACUCUGCUUCACCCCAAAAAUAUCCUGAUAUAGCUGAUAGAUUCUGGAAAUAUGAUUUCUUACAAGUAUGCCUAACUGAAUCCAAUAUCUCCCUUGCAAUUUUUAGAGACACGAAAUUGGCACUAAUAUAAGACUCCAUAUUAUUACCCAACCAAGUUAUUAUCAUUAAGUCAUCAUGUUGUUAUUCAUCAAAACUCUUGCAUUCAUGUUAUUAUCAUUAAGUCAUCAUGUUGUUUAAUUUCCCUUUGCCCCAAGACACAUUCAUAACUUUAGGGCUUAAUAAAUAACUAGAUCCCUUUAGUUUCACUAAUGUAAUCUGAAUACCAACCUAUCUCUAGAUUUGUGAUUACAGCUAAACGCCAUGAUCUUUAACUAUUGAAGGCAGAAAAUAGGAACUACUGCACUAAUCUCUAAACCAAAGAGAUGUUAUGUAGCUUCAAAACUGAUACAAACUUGCUAACUUGCAUAAUGUGGCACAACCAAUGAUACAUCUAAGAACACAUCUCCCACACCAUCAAUCACAAAGAAGGAUUGUUGUACUACAACUGUAAGAUAGUAUUUACAUUACACAAGCACAAACCGUGACUUAAAACUUGGUAGUACUAACAUCACACAAGGAGUGACUUAACACCUGUAUCAUUUGGCUUUGACUUGUGGGUAUUGUGGUGGUCCUGUAGAGGUACUGUAGCACAAUCCUGUAACAGUAACAAGUGGUUAGGAUUUUGUGUGACUGGAGUUUCAUGAUCCAUGUAUGCAUACACACACAUUUUGUCUUUAAAACAUUAAAAAAAGACUAAACUAGCCCUUAUUAAAAUUAUUUCUAGUAACUAAUAAUUUUUAUAAUUUUGGCUUCAUUUAAAUAAAAUCUGCUGAUUCUCUGGUUCCUAGUACACCCAAAUCAGGUUUAAUUGGACUUAGCAUGAUUAUUCUACCCAAAUCAAUAUAUUAGCUGAUCAGUUAAAAAUUUUCCUGAUUUUUUCUGUGUAAAAUGAAUAUCCCAGGUCAAUACCUCCUAAAUUGGAAGAGGUUAACUCUGAACUGAACUUAACCGAACCAGAUUCUUUGGAAGUGAUUGCAGAAUCAAAUUCAGCAAUAGAUGUUGCAAAUGCAGAAGGGACCCCACAGUUGGAUGUGAAAGCUGGAGAAGACAAAGCUACUGCUACGAUUGCAGAAGAGUGGGAGCAGCUGAUUGUCAAUGAAGUCCCAAAUAUAUACUCCCCCAGUUGUAUUUGCAAACCCAAGUUGGAGCAAUCAGUUCUAUUACCAUCAGAUAGUACUAGACAGUUAGAUGUAAAAACUUCCAGGAUCUUAGAGAGGCUGGAGAUCCCAAGACAGUUGAAGAAGAGGGCACUUUCACCCAUUAUCACAAACAGCAUCAUGGCUGAUGGAUGUGCACUGAUGAAGAAGCCUCUAAUUCCAUUCCAGCCUAUUCAUGUAACAGCAGCAGGCCGAGCCUCCAUUGCAAGCAAACCAAUGAAACCCAACUUUCAGAGGAAACAUGGAUAAAAGAAGGGUGCUCACAUUUAGUUCCUGAAGGUAUUCUUGUGGAAAAGGUCCAUGAGGUUAGUGGCUCUUUGCUUUCUAUUUGUUUGUUUUUACUAUUUCUGCAAACAUGCUAUAUUCUCAACCCAUGAAUGAGAAGGUGCUCUAACAAAAUGUUUACAUCAUUGAGGGUGAAAAUGAAUGAAAAGCAACAAAAUAUUCCAUGAUAGACUCAGUUCUGAAGUGAGUUCUUAACCUGAAACAUUUCCUGUGAGUUACUGCCCUACCAAUUCCAUGAUCCGGGUUGUUAGAGUGAAAAGUUCUGGUUUAGUUUAACUUGUUUCUGUCAUCUGUUACUGAUAAAGCCAAAUUUCCUGUGUUCCGAGAGGGAGAGAAAACAGACUGAAAUAGCUUUUAUAUGUCAGAUAUAUUUUCAUACAUGUACAAAUGCCUCUUUGUGAGCUUCCUACUUUCUACUUCCUAAUUUCAUUUGAACUAUGAAACGAUUACUCAAACACUACAAUCUGUAACAUAUAUACAAAUUGAACACCAAUGCAUCUUAAUGCAGGAUUAAGAUUCUUCUCUUAGAUUUUUGUAACCUUUUUUGAGAUGUUCAGCUUGCAUGGCUCCUUAUUAAGGAAUUUCUCCUCUUGUUUUGAUCAGGUUUGUAUAUUAUGGAAGAAAUCUUUUUAUUUAAUAGAAAAUAUCUAUUGUGUUUCUGAUUAAAAAAAUCACAAUGGAGUGAGUUAUUAUUCCAAGGACUUUCCUGUGCGUUACUGCCUAUCAAUUCCUUUAUCCAAGCUGUUUGAGCAAAAAAUUCUAGUUUAGCUUAGGUUCUCUCUGGUAUCAGGAUAACCGGAAUUCCUUUGUUCUGGGAGAGAGUUAAAGAAGAGAAUGCAAUAACUUUCAUAGGUAUAUUCUCAUACACAUCUUUUCCCUUUCGUUGACUUGCUACUUCCAAUUUCCUAAUUUCAUUUGGACUAUGAAAUAUACUCACCAAAAAACAUUCUAUGACAUAAGUUGAAUAGCAAUGUCAAAUGCAUGAUGGACUGCAUGGACAUUUUUAGCAGGCCUCUGGAAAUAAUCUGAUGGGAGACUGAGGAGAGGGUGAGCAGAGAGGAAGAUGGUAGUAGUGGAAGCGUCUCUAGACAAUUUCUUGAUGGGAGACUGAGGAUACGUACAGACACAACAUGCAUUAAGGUUGUUCAAUUCGAGCUAUUCGAAAUUCCAUUGGAAUGGGCUUGAAUCUCUUAGGGAUGCAAAAUUCCCAAAAACCUUUCCACAAGCCUAUUAGGUUAAGAAUGUGGAAAAACAAUAUAAACCCACUAAAGGUGUCCAUGGACACCUUUUGUUUUUCUCACUGAUUUGUGUUUGUUGUGAAACUGUGUUGGAAGUUUCUCUCUUUUUUCCGUUUACCCUUUUUCCUGUCUAUAUUAAAUAAGCUUUGUGUUGACCGCCAAAAUACGACCUUUUAUCAUGCACCUGAUGCGAACAAAUUAACGUCUUAUUCCAAGGCAAAAGCCAAGUUUUCCAAUAUGGUAUAUCUACUGUUGGAUUCUCUGUUCUCCAAGUGCUAAAUUGUCUGUUAAACUUCUUGGCCUCUAUCCGAUUUUGAUCAAUCUCCUAAGAAUGAGUGGAGUUAUGGGCUAAUUUUAAGCGUGGCAGUCAGAAGUCGUGGCUGAACUACAGCCUUGCUUCUGUAUACGGACUUAAACUAAGCUGUAUCCUUGUUUGUUUUUACUUUUUCUUUUUCAAACUUAAAAGUUUUAAACUUAACUCUGUCGUUAUUUCUUAGCUUUGUUACUUUUUUUCAAGACAAAUUUGUUGAUUUUUUUUUAGGUGUUUGAUUAAGUUUAAUCCUCAUGCUUAAUAAGUUGAGAUAAUUUUAAGAAUUUAUUUGUUUUAUUUUUUAUAUGUUGUUUUAAGACUUGAGGAAUUUUUACAUGUUUUGAGAAACCUAUUUUUAAAUCUUUUAAAUUAAAAAACUGUUUGAAGUUCAGUUCCAAAAAAUGGGCCCCACACUGUUGUUCAUUCCUUCUUGGGAUAGUCCAGAGGGCUGCUGGUCAGCGGAUUUGGAGGCUGUUGCUAGUCCCAUCUCCCAUGGUUAUUCUUUCGGAUUUCAACCAAUAGCCUCCAGGAGGAACAGCACUGGAUUGAGCUGUUGCUGUAUCGAUUCAGGACGCGAAAGAAUAUAUAUAUGUUACAAGGUGAGAAAAGUCACCAGUAGGGGUAACCCAUGUCGUCUGCUAUGUAGGUGUUUCUCUUGUAUCUUAAGCUAUGCGUGCAAAAUUCUUUCUUUAAAAACAUGUUGAUCGGGUUCUAGCUAUGGGAGAUGUUGGAAAUACUUUUUUGAAAAGUUUGGGGUGGCUUGUACUUGUAGUUAGUAGGGAGGAAUACGAUGAAAGAUGAAGUAAAGAAUCUGACGCAACCCAUAUCAUACUCACCUUUAUAAGUGCGAUAAUUUUUGGCGGAGGAGAUGUAAUCCAAGCAGCCAAUUAACAGUGAGCAACUUUAUGGAAGUGCACAGUGACGAGACUCACAACAGUAUUUGUGACAUCCCAGGCUGAUUGAGAAGAUAAAUUUCAGACGUUUAGAUAUGUUUUAUUUUAUUUAAAAUUGAGAGUUUAGAAUGAGUGGUUGUUCUGACUAUUAAUCCAGUCCCAUAAACACGAUAAGGAUAUCCUAUUUGCAGGAUAUAGUGAUGUCUUGGCCACAGGAUAUAUCGAUAUGGAUGAAGAUCAAAUAAAUCGUGGAUUUUAGUGGGAAUGGUCCGCGUCUUGUACGCCUUGCUCUUUGCUUUUAAUGUGGGGAUUGAUAUUUCCUUUUCCGUGCUCCACUGUUCUUAGGAUGCUAGAAAGUAGGAAGAGUUAUGGCUAGUAUCACCUUUAAAAUUUUGUUUCUGAAAAUGUGUCAAAGUUCACAAGACAUGAAGAGAAUUCAAAAAAC
rnacentral:lncRNA from 1 species